CCCGACAAAACCGCGACCGACCAAUGAGCGCCGACAAAGCCGCUAACUGGUUUUCGACAAAUGCACACCGACAAAAUCACCACGACAAAAUUGCGAGAGAGGCCAAGAGAGUGGGAGCACAAGGUUUGUGUACGAUACAGACUCACCAGAUAGAAGAGGAUUUAUAUUACAAUCAGCAGAAACCCUCGGACUACAGACCGCUGAAUUCCAUUGAACCAUAAAACCAAUUCACUGCACCAGGCGUGUCAUGUUAAAGUGGAUGCCUCAGAGGAUGGAUGGAUGAAAGGGUGUCCCAUUCCUUACCCAGCUAGGAUACCAUAAUGGAAGGAUGGAAUUAAUGGGGUCAAUUACCAUCUGGGACAUCUUAUGAUUCCUGUCCUGAUUGCGAUGUCCGAAGGCAACUGGAACUGGCAAGAGAGGAUGAAAGUGAGCAGGUCAUCCCCCAUUGCACUAGGAGGUAGUGUCCUUGCUGCUGGGGGAGGACCUCCGUGACUUCUUUAUAACCUGAUAGUACAUCCAACUGGCUGCAUCACCGAAACUGCUUUAAAAGGAAUCCAGUGCCAUAGCUCUGGGAGUCAGAGUCGGGAGGCAGCAGGCAAAAGUCAAUGGAGGUGAGAAAAAGAAAAAAAGAAAGCACUUAAAGUCGGUGUUUUGUCUGGAUUAA